GAUGAACGCUGGCGGCGUGCCUAAUACAUGCAAGUCGAGCGAACGGACGAGAAGCUUGCUUCUCUGAUGUUAGCGGCGGACGGGUGAGUAACACGUGGAUAACCUACCUAUAAGACUGGGAUAACUUCGGGAAACCGGAGCUAAUACCGGAUAAUAUUUUGAACCGCAUGGUUCAAAAGUGAAGGACGGUCUUGCUGUCACUUAUAGAUGGAUCCGCGCUGCAUUAGCUAGUUGGUAAGGUAACGGCUUACCAAGGCAACGAUGCAUAGCCGACCUGAGAGGGUGAUCGGCCACACUGGAACUGAGACACGGUCCAGACUCCUACGGGAGGCAGCAGUAGGGAAUCUUCCGCAAUGGGCGAAAGCCUGACGGAGCAACGCCGCGUGAGUGAUGAAGGUCUUCGGAUCGUAAAACUCUGUUAUUAGGGAAGUACAUAUGUGUAAGUAACUGUGCACAUCUUGACGGUACCUAAUCAGAAAGCCACGGCUAACUACGUG
rnacentral:rRNA from 1 species